rnacentral:rRNA from 1 species
AACGAACGCUGGCGGCAGGCCUAACACAUGCAAGUCGAACGCCGUAGCAAUACGGAGUGGCAGACGGGUGAGUAACGCGCGGGAACAUACCCUCCGGUUCGGAAUAACUCAGGGAAACUUGAGCUAAUACCGGAUACGUCCAAGGUUUUAAUCGGCCUUGGAGAAAGAUUUAUCGCUGGAGGAUUGGCCCGCGUCUGAUUAGCUUGUUGGUGAGGUAAUGGCUCACCAAGGCGACGANCAGUAGCUGGUCUGAGAGGAUGAUCAGCCACAUUGGGACUGAGACACGGCCCAAACUCCUACGGGAGGCAGCAGUGGGGAAUAUUGGACAAUGGCGAAAGCCUGAUCCAGCCAUGCCGCGUGAGUGAUGAA